AGCGAACGCUGGCGGCAGGCCUAACACAUGCCAGUCGAACGAACCUUUCGGGGUUAGUGGCGGACGGGUGAGUAACACGUGGGAACGUGCCUUUAGGUUCGGAAUAACUCAGGGAAACUUGUGCUAAUACCGAAUGUGCCCUUCGGGGGAAAGAUUUAUCGCCUUUAGAGCGGCCCGCGUCUGAUUAGCUAGUAGGUUGAGGUAAUGGCUCACCAAGGCGACGAUCAGUAGCUGGUCUGAGAGGAUGAUCAGCCACAUUGGGACUGAGACACGGCCCAAACUCCUACGGGAGGCAGCAGUGGGGAAUCUUGCGCAAUGGGCGAAAGCCUGACGCAGCCAUGCCGCGUGAAUGAUGAAGGUCUUAGGAUUGUAAAAUUCUUUCACCGGGGACGAUAAUGACGGUACCCGGAGAAGAAGCCCCGGCUAACUUCGUG
rnacentral:rRNA from 1 species